rnacentral:lncRNA from 1 species
AAGGAAACGUAGUUAUUUCAAUUUUGUGUAAAAAGAAAAAGUGAUGAGUAUUGGCCUUCCUUUUGUAUUACUGUUCUUAAAAUUUGCCUGCCUUGAAUUAAAAACCUUCUGUAAAUGAAAAGAUUGCUCAGUCUUUUCCUGAAGUACUUGUCAUUGUAGUUAUGAGAUUUUGGCUGGCAAGUAUACAUCCUACUGUGCCUUAAAGUUCUAGGUGCUCUGUAAAGAUGAGUGCAGUAGUAUUUUAUUUCUGAAACAUAUUUAUGAAGAUAAAAUUGGAAUAUGCAGUGAUUCCAAAAAAUAAAGUUUUUGGAUAUAAAACUUGCCAAAUCAUUUCUUGUUGACCAAAAUGAUAUUUAGCUAGUUCUUUGAGAAUUUGCUAUGCACUUACUAAGUGCUUGAAGGCCUGUCAGAUUAAAGGGAAGAGACAAAGGCAAUCAGUUAUUAUUUCUUACUCUUUUGUAAGGAUUGUUGAUAUUAACAGAUCUCAAUUUUGCGGUCUUACAAGAAAGACACAGCGGACAUUUUACCAAUUCAGCUGAGCCAUUUGCUAUCAUCUUUGUUUGCAUAUUGCUGGUUUAGUCAGCCUUUGAGUAAGCAAAAGCUGUAUUUACUUCUAGUCUGGUCUGUGUGAAAAAUCUAAUGAAGACUUUUCUAUUUUUUUUUUUAACUUUUUUAAGGUGGUGAUCCAUAAGAGAAAAAUCAAGAGGCACACAAAUAAGCGGCAUAAUUAAGAUCUUAUUUAUUAAAGAGAAGUAGAGGAAUUUGGUUUCUUAAAUUUAAGAAGCUGGUACAGUUAAAGUAGUAUAGAUAUUGUUUAUGUAUUUUCUUACGUGAUAGAGACUGAAGUGGAGUUUCAAGGAGAAGGGAGAAGGGGGGGUAAAAAGAAGAGAACCAAGAAAAGACCAGAACAAUUUAUUAAGUAUUUCCCUCUCCACGUUUUUCCUUCCAUAAGAUUGAAUCUGCUCCUGCCUCACUGUUAGGAAUGAAGAAAGGGGAAAAUGCAGGAAGAACCACACACACUACAAAAAUGGAGAGUAUCCAGGUCCUAGAGGAAUGCCAAAACCCCACUGCAGAGGAAGUCUUGCCCUGGUCUCAAAAUUUUGACAAGAUGAUGAAGGCCC